CUAGAUAUAUAUAAACAUGACAGUCAAUUUUUUCGAGAGUUUGAUCCUGGCUCAGGAUGAACGCUGGCUGUGUGCCUAAUACAUGCAUGUCGAGCGAUGAUAGCAAUAUCAUAGCGGCGAAUGGGUGAGUAACACGUACUCAACGUACCUUUUAGAUUGGGAUAGCGGAUGGAAACAUCCGAUAAUACCGAAUACUUAUUAUUUUUGCAUGAAAGUAAUAUAAAAGGAAGCGUUUGCUUCGCUAAAAGAUCGGAGUGCGCAACAUUAGCUAGUUGGUGAGGUAACGGCCCACCAAGGCGAUGAUGUUUAGCGGGGUUGAGAGAUUGAUCCGCCACACUGGGACUGAGAUACGGCCCAGACUCCUACGGGAGGCAGCAGUAGGGAAUAUUCCACAAUGGACGAAAGUCUGAUGGAGCGACACAGCGUGCAGGAUGAAGGCCCUAUGGGUUGUAAACUGCUGUGGUUAGGGAAGAAAAAGUAGCAUAGGAAAUGAUGCUACCUUGACGGUACCUGAUUAGAAAGCAACGGCUAACUAUGUGCCAGCAGCCGCGGUAAUACAUAGGUUGCAAGCGUUAUCCGAAAUUAUUGGGCGUAAAGCGUCUGUAGGUUGUUUGUUAAGUCUGGCGUUAAAUUUUGGGGCUCAACCCCAAAACGCGUUGGAUACUGGCAGACUAGAGUUAUGUAGAGGUUAGCGGAAUUCCUUGUGAAGCGGUGAAAUGCGUAGAUAUAAGGAAGAACAUCAAUAUGGCGAAGGCAGCUAACUGGGCAUACACUGACACUGAGAGACGAAAGCGUGGGGAGCAAACAGGAUUAGAUACCCUGGUAGUCCACGCCCUAAACGAUGAUCAUUAGUUGAUGGGGAACUCAUCGACGCAGCUAACGCAUUAAAUGAUCCGCCUGAGUAGUACGUUCGCAAGAAUAAAACUUAAAGGAAUUGACGGGGAUCCGCACAAGCGGUGGAGCAUGUGGUUUAAUUUGAUGUUACGCGUAGAACCUUACCCACUCUUGACAUCUUCUGCAAAGCUAU
rnacentral:rRNA from 1 species